ACGAACGCUGGCGGCGUGCUUAACACAUGCAAGUCGCACGGGACUGGGGGCAACUCCAGUUCAGUGGCGGACGGGUGCGUAACACGUAAGCAACAUGUCCAAGGGUGGGGGAUAGCCGGCCCAACGGCCGGGUAAUACCGCAUGCAGUCACCGGCGGCAUCACUGGUGACGAAAGCCGGGGCAACCUGGCGCCCGUGGAGUGGCUUGCGGCCUAUCAGCUAGUUGGUGAGGCACGGCUCACCAAGGCGACGACGGGUAGCUGGUCUGAGAGGAUGACCAGCCACAUUGGGACUGAGACACGGCCCAGACUCCUACGGGAGGCAGCAGUGGGGAAUAUUGCGCAAUGGGCGAAUGCCUGACGCAGCGACGCCGCGU
rnacentral:rRNA from 1 species